rnacentral:rRNA from 1 species
GACGAACGCUGGCGGCGUGCUUAACACAUGCAAGUCGAACGCUGAAGCUCAGCUUUUGUUGGGUGGAUGAGUGGCGAACGGGUGAGUAACACGUGAGUAACCUGCCCCCUUCUUUGGGAUAACGCCCGGAAACGGGUGCUAAUACUGGAUAUUCACUGGUCUUCGCAUGGGGGUUGGUGGAAAGGGUUUUUCUGGUGGGGGAUGGGCUCGCGGCCUAUCAGCUUGUUGGUGGGGUGAUGGCCUACCAAGGCUUUGACGGGUAGCCGGCCUGAGAGGGUGACCGGUCACAUUGGGACUGAGAUACGGCCCAGACUCCUACGGGAGGCAGCAGUGGGGAAUAUUGCACAAUGGGCGAAAGCCUGAUGCAGCGACGCCGCGUGAGGGAUUGAGGCCUUCGGGUUGUGAACCUCUUUCGCUCAUGGUCAAGCCGCAACAAUGGUUGUGGUGAGGGUAGUGGGUAAAGAAGCGCCGGCUAACUACGUG